GUUCAUCAACAUAACGCAGUUAGGGUCACACUCAUCACGGGGCCCCCAUUGCCUCUGGCGCACCCCACGACUGACAUCUGCGGGGCCUUCCCGCUAGGCUUCGAGUUUCAGCUUCCGCACCAGGCCUGCCUUUCUGCAGGGGCCAGGGUGGGGGUCCUGCGCUGACGGACCCUCUGAACCCCCACUGCUGCAGAGGGGCUGUUCCUUCCGUUACAUCCCCUGUGCCCGAAUCCACCCUGUGUCUUCUCUUUUCUCAGCAGGACAUUUUAAAAGCCCAGACCCCUUCCUUGCAGAGCAAAUGUCCAGGCUUCGGAGGUCACUGUCACAUCCCAAGAACCCCCUUCACCAGGGGCCACUCUUGAGACUGGGCUGAAGCCCCCUGGAGAGUCCCCCUUGGCUUUGUCCUGCCCCCUGAGAUGAGGGUAUGGACAGCCGGGUACAAGAUGGGGCAGGCAACCUUGCAAUGGUGGUAACCCUGUGCAUGAACCCUGGGCCUGGCACGUGGACCUCCUGUGACCGUCCCCACAGGCCCGUGAGGCUGAGCUUGGCACUGCCCAAGACCACACAGUCCAUGCGCGGUGGAGCUGGGGUCCAGGCUGCCCACCAGGGCAGUGACUGCAAUGGUGGCAGCAGGGGACGGUCACUGUCAUGAGCUCAAGCCAGGCGCUGUGCUGACCUUGAGGGAGGGCUCCAUGCUUCCCCUUCCCACAGCUGCAGUGAAGCCUAGGAGAGCGGGGUCGGCUGCGGGCUUGAGUCCUGGGGUGCCCCUGGGCUGAUGGGCCCUGCCUGACCUGCUCCUCCAGUGCCCCAGCCCUGCCCCGCCCACGUCCCCUCCUCUCACUGCCCCCUGGCCCACUCCGCUGCAGUCUCAGUGCCUUCCCAGGCUGGGCAUCAUCUGAUGGGAGGAAAGUGAGGGCCCCAGACUCUGUGUCAUCCUGGAAGGACCCCUCCCCUCCUAUGGCUUCGAGCCCAUGAGAUGGCCUUGGACAAAGCGGCAAUGGGCCCUUCCUGAGACACAGUGCGGCCAUCUACUGGGAAACUGCCCAGUGUGACUCUGAUGACUGUGAUGUGAAUCCUACAGCAAAGUUGAGCAGUGCGCAACCUGGUCUACUACACCUGGCAGCCCCGGCUCCUCCUCCUCUGCCUCUUCCUGCUCCUUCAUUCUCCCCCAGAGCUCUAAUUGUCACUGAGAUUUUAUGUUUCGUUUAACAAAUGACUGUCUCCCCGCUUGAACAGAACCUCCAUGGGGGGAGGGAAGAGUGUCUGUUGUAUAAAUAGUUGUAUUUCAGUGCAUAAAACAGUGCCUGCCUCAAA
rnacentral:lncRNA from 1 species